ACGAACGCUGGCGGCGUGCUUAACACAUGCAAGUCGAACGGAAAGGCCCUGCUUUUGUGGGGUGCUCGAGUGGCGAACGGGUGAGUAACACGUGAGUAACCUGCCCUUGACUUUGGGAUAACUUCAGGAAACUGGGGCUAAUACCGGAUAGGAGCUCCUGCUGCAUGGUGGGGGUUGGAAAGUUUCGGCGGUUGGGGAUGGACUCGCGGCUUAUCAGCUUGUUGGUGGGGUAGUGGCUUACCAAGGCUUUGACGGGUAGCCGGCCUGAGAGGGUGACCGGCCACAUUGGGACUGAGAUACGGCCCAGACUCCUACGGGAGGCAGCAGUGGGGAAUAUUGCACAAUGGGCGGAAGCCUGAUGCAGCAACGCCGCGUGCGGGAUGACGGCCUUCGGGUUGUAAACCGCUUUCGCCUGUGACGAAGCGUGAGUGACGGUAAUGGGUAAAGAAGCACCGGCUAACUACGUGCCAGCAGCCGCGGUGAUACGUAGGGUGCGAGCGUUGUCCGGAUUUAUUGGGCGUAAAGGGCUCGUAGGUGGUUGAUCGCGUCGGAAGUGUAAUCUUGGGGCUUAACCCUGAGCGUGCUUUCGAUACGGGUUGACUUGAGGAAGGUAGGGGAGAAUGGAAUUCCUGGUGGAGCGGUGGAAUGCGCAGAUAUCAGGAGGAACACCAGUGGCGAAGGCGGUUCUCUGGGCCUUUCCUGACGCUGAGGAGCGAAAGCGUGGGGAGCGAACAGGCUUAGAUACCCUGGUAGUCCACGCUGUAAACGGUGGGUACUAGGUGUGGGGUCCAUUCCACGGGUUCCGUGCCGUAGCUAACGCUUUAAGUACCCCGCCUGGGGAGUACGGCCGCAAGGCUAAAACUCAAAGGAAUUGACGGGGCCCCGCACAAGCGGCGGAGCAUGCGGAUUAAUUCGAUGCAACGCGUAGAACCUUACCUGGGUUUGACAUGGAUCGGGAGUGCUCAGAGAUGGGUGUGCCUCUUUUGGGGUCGGUUCACAGGUGGUGCAUGGCUGUCGUCAGCUCGUGUCGUGAGGUGUUGGGUUAAGUCCCGCAACGAGCGCAACCCUUGUUCACUGUUGCCAGCACGUUAUGGUGGGGACUCAGUGGAGACCGCCGGGGUCAACUCGGAGGAAGGUGGGGAUGACGUCAAGUCAUCAUGCCCCUUAUGUCCAGGGCUUCACGCAUGCUACAAUGGCUGGUACAGAGAGUGGCGAGCCUGUGAGGGUGAGCGAAUCUCGGAAAGCCGGUCUCAGUUCGGAUUGGGGUCUGCAACUCGACCUCAUGAAGUCGGAGUCGCUAGUAAUCGCAGAUCAGCAACGCUGCGGUGAAUACGUUCCCGGGGCUUGUACACACCGCCCGUCAAGUCAUGAAAGUUGGUAACACCCGAAGCCGGUGGCCUAACCGUUGUGGGGGAGCCGUCGAAGGUGGGACUGGUGAUUAGGACUAA
rnacentral:rRNA from 1 species